AAGCCCACGGAAAGCGUGGGGAAACGGAGAUGCAGCAGCAGCAGCAAACUCAGGCGGCCCGCAACCCAACCUCGGCGGAGUCGACGGCGGAGGCUCCGCCGAAGCAGGUGGCGCUGGCGAUGGACCGCUUGGCCCAAGCCGCUCGCCUCAUCGCCGACGUCCGCCUUGGCGCUGACCGGCUCCUGGAGGCCCUCUUCGUCUCCGCACAGCCCCACCAGACCACCAAGCCGCUCCAUCUCUUCCUCAAAGAAGACUCCUCCAUGCGCCAACACCUCCAAGAUCUUCGCACUAUUGGAAAGCAACUGGAAGAUUCUGGGGUUCUCAAUGAAUCUCUUCGGUCACGAAGCAAUUCUUGGGGCUUGCAUAUGCCUUUGGUUUGUCCAGAUGGUGCUGUUGUUGCUUAUGCUUGGAAACGUCAACUUGCUGGCCAGGCUGGUGCAUCUGCCGUUGACAGGACCAGAUUAGCUCUAAAGGCCUUUACUGAUCAGAAACGGCGGUUUUUCCCUCACCUUGAUGAUGGAUUAAACGGUCAGAGUUCUGCUUCUGAGUCGGUUCCAAAGAAACAUUGUGGUUCUCAGAUCUCAACAGUUACUCAACAAGAAGAGCUUAGUACUUACAGAACACUAUCAGAUGUUCUAAUGCAUGUGGAAAAAGACAUGCCAAACAUGAAAAUUUUCACUUACCAACGAUUGGACUGGUUAAAAAGAGCUUCUACACUUCCCUGUUCAGCAGAGGAGUUUUUGAUGGAUUCAUCGAAAGAGCAUGACUUUCAUAUUUCAAAUAAACCAAGAUUGGGAUUGCUGGGUGCUGUUGCUGCUGAUAAAGUCGCUGUAAUUGAGUUGUUGUUUCCUUCAAUAUUCAGAGCUAUAAUAUCAUUGCACCCAGCUGGUUCUAUUGACCCUGAUGCUGUAGCUUUCUUCUCUCCAGAUGAGGGAGGCAGUUAUGUACAUGCCAGAGGUUUUUCAGUUUAUCACGUAUUUAAACAUGUCACGGAGCACGCUGCUAUGGCCUUGCAACAUUUUCUUGGAACCAACACUGAAACAGCAUUGUAUUCUCUUUUGCACUGGAUCUUCAGCUAUCAAACCCUAUUUACAGAACCUUGCAGUAAAUGUAAACGGCUACUAUCAAUGGAUAGACAAUCAGAUUUACUGUUACCUCCUGUUUACCAUCCUUAUCGAAGCUUCUGCGCUAUUAAAAGUUCAUCUCCCCAAUCAAUAUCCUCAACAAAGAACCAGACUUUGGAUGCUUCUCACGCUUAUCAUGUUGGUUGCUUUUCAGAGGAAGCAUAGUCACAUCCAAUGUCGAAGGUUGGAUCGUCUCCAUUCCCUGAUGAUUGAAGUUGAUGAUCUGAGUACUGUGAUACCAAAAUAGACAAAAAUCUGGUAAACUUUGAUGACUUUCGGGCUCCAGAUUGCCAUGUUCAUGAACAGAAGGAAAGUGAUGGUCACUUUAGUGGUAUUAAAGUGCUGGACCCCCUUGUCGCUGUUUUUGGUGGUGACGGUGGCAGCAGCAUCAGCCGCAUCAUCAGCAACAUCAGCAGCAGCAUGUCUGGUUCCGUGCUCAUUCGGUCUGGACUGGUGAGUGGUUUGCAAUUUUUGUUGUCUUUCCUGGAUUUGAUGACUGACGAGGUUACUCAUAUAUGUGCUCCAAACACUUGGUUGGAGUCUUGGACCCAGCUCCUUGGCACCAAAGAACUGGACCAAGCUGCUCGGCCUGGCCUAGUCUGUGGUCAAAUGGUUGUAUUAUAGUGUCUUACACAUGGGGGGCUUCUUUUUUCUAAACCUGUGGAUGCAAAUAAAAGUCGGUGUAAUGGCCAUCUUUAAAAAUUCCGUCUCAUAGGGAUGUGAAGUAACUAACAUGACAGUGACUGCGGUUGUGCAUCUUAGCUUUAUAUUAAUGUCUCAAAGCGUAUAAAGUAUGAUUUAUGAACAGAAUAAUAUGCCGACAUUAUUGAGAUUUGAGGGAUUAAAGUAUAAGAAAACGUGUUGUUGGAGAAAGAGGACAAAAGGGGUAUUAGUUUUGUUAAUCCUAGAAGCCUGUAUCUUAGAAGUAUGCUUAGUUUAAGCUAAUAUCGGUAUCUACGGUGGACCUCGUGCUAAGAGUCCUUUGUUUGGCUUCUGGGAAAAUGUUCAUGAUCUUGGUUCCAACCUCAAUUUGAAUGUCUUGUAGCUGGUGAUGUUGGUGCUAGUGCUGGUUUUUUUCGCUUGUUGAAGUCUUGGAAAUGGAUUAGGGAUUUGAAGAACAAGAGCCGAGAAACCGACAUUGUUGUUAUUAACUUUAUUAGCUUAAUCACAUACUAAUAUUUUUUUCUUAA